GAUGAACGCUGGCGGCGUGCCUAAUACAUGCAAGUCGAGCGAACAGACGAGGAGCUUGCUCCUCUGACGUUAGCGGCGGACGGGUGAGUAACACGUGGAUAACCUACCUAUAAGACUGGGAUAACUUCGGGAAACCGGAGCUAAUACCGGAUAAUAUAUUGAACCGCAUGGUUCAAUAGUGAAAGACGGUUUUGCUGUCACUUAUAGAUGGAUCCGCGCCGCAUUAGCUAGUUGGUAAGGUAACGGCUUACCAAGGCAACGAUGCGUAGCCGACAUGAGAGGGUGAUCGGCCAAACUGGAACAGAGACACGGUCAAGACUCCUACGGGAGGCAGCAGUAGGGAAUCUUCCGAAAUGGGCGAAAGCCUGACGGAGCAACGCCGCGUGAGUGAUGAAGGUCUUCGGAUCGUAAAACUCUGUUAUUAGGGAAGAACAAAUGUGUAAGUAACUAUGCACGUCUUGACGGUACCUAAUCAGAAAGCCACGGCUAACUACGUG
rnacentral:rRNA from 1 species